CCCUCCGACUGUCCGUCCGAGAACAACUGUGCCCGAUCUCUCCCAGCUGUCGUUUUCUCGUCCUUUCCUGUGUACACACACACACACGCAUAGACCGACAAGACUUCUCGUUCCUCUUCCUCCUUUCACAUCCCAGACGAAGGCUGGGGUGUGUGCGGCGAGCAGGAGAUGCGGACGAAGCGGAGAGAAAUGAAAGCACAAAGCAGCAAAACGCAUCAGCAUGAAUAUUAGAGAUGUCGUUAAAAUCCGGACUCGUUUUUCUCUCUCUCUCUCUUGCUCGCUCAUUUUCUCUCUCUCUCUUUAGCUCAUUGUGAAACAGGAGGUCCAGCAGAGGGUGCUAGCUGUUAUUACAUUAAAUUUCACAAUUUAACCCCAAAA